UGUUCUGUGGUUUUGUUGGUUAAAACGCCGGACUAGCGAUACGAAAUUGUGGGUUCGAAUCCCACCAAAAGAA
rfam:Aedes albopictus isolate Foshan contig78292, whole genome shotgun sequence.